GAUGAACGCUGGCGGCGUGCUUAACACAUGCAAGUCGAACGAUGAAGCCCAGCUUGCUGGGUGGAUUAGUGGCGAACGGGUGAGUAACACGUGAGCAACCUGCCCCUGACUCUGGGAUAAGCGCUGGAAACGGUGUCUAAUACUGGAUAUGUCCCGUCACCGCAUGGUGUGCGGGUGGAAAGAUUUUUCGGUUGGGGAUGGGCUCGCGGCCUAUCAGCUUGUUGGUGGGGUAAUGGCUCACCAAGGCGUCGACGGGUAGCCGGCCUGAGAGGGUGACCGGCCACACUGGGACUGAGACACGGCCCAGACUCCUACGGGAGGCAGCAGUGGGGAAUAUUGCACAAUGGGCGGAAGCCUGAUGCAGCAACGCCGCGUGAGGGAUGACGGCCUUCGGGUUGUAAACCUCUUUUAGCAGGGAAGAAGCGAAAGUGACGGUACCUGCAGAAAAAGCACCGGCUAACUACGUG
rnacentral:rRNA from 1 species